ensembl:snoRNA small nucleolar RNA SNORA2/SNORA34 family
CUGGCCCUGAAUCAAGGCUGGCAGCCUCCUGACACUGUUGGUUUCAAGCAGGAGCCUAAAAAGAUGUCUUUCUAUGAUUUGUUGCCCAUUUCAUAACUUGAGCAAUGAAACAGUUAAUUCAUUAGAAAGAAACAGCG